AGAUGUUGGGUUAAGUCCCGCAACGAGCGCAACCCUCGCCUUUAGUUGCCAGCAUUUAGUUGGGCACUCUAAAGGGACUGCCGGUGAUAAGCCGGAGGAAGGUGGGGAUGACGUCAAGUCCUCAUGGCCCUUAUGGGCUGGGCUACACACGUGCUACAAUGGCGCUGACAGAGGGCAGCUAACUCGCGAGAGUAAGCUAAUCCCUAAAAGGCGCCUCAGUUCGGAUUGUACUCUGCAACUCGAGUGCAUGAAGUUGGAAUCGCUAGUAAUCGUGGAUCAGCAUGCCACGGUGAAUACGUUCCCGGGCCUUGUACACACCGCCCGUCACACCAUGGGAAUUGGCUUUACCCGAAGGUAGUGUGCUAACCGCAAGGAGGCAGCUAACCACGGUAAGGUCAGUAACUGGGGUGAAGUCGUAACAAGGUAGCCGUAGGGGAACCUGCGGCUGGAUCACCUCCUUU
rnacentral:rRNA from 1 species